rnacentral:rRNA from 1 species
CAGCAGCCACGGGAAUACGGAGGGUGCAAGCGUUAAUCGGAAUUACUGGGCGUAAAGCGCACGCAGGCGGUCUGACAAGUCAGAUGUGAAAUCCCCGGGCUUAACCUGGGAACUGCAUUUGAAACUGUCAGGCUGGAGUCUUGUAGAGGGGGGUGGAAUUUCAGGUGUAGCGGUGAAAUGCGUAGAGAUCUGGAGGAAUACCGGUGGCGAAGGCGGCCCCCUGGACAAAGACUGACGCUCAGGUGCGAAAGCGUGGGGAGCAAACAGGAUUAGAUACCCCGGUAGUCCCUGUCUCUUAUAC